rnacentral:lncRNA from 1 species
AUCUUUUUACCUCAAAUUCAAAAACUCAUUUUCUUUCACUAAUCUCACUGACUCAGAAAAAUACUGAUCAUAAAAUCUCUUUUUGAACUCCUCCCAUGUCAAUUGAUUAUCAUUAUUUUCAUAUGCAGUCUUUAUUGCAGCCCACCAAAACUCGGCAUUUUCUUUUAGCGUAGGAAUGGCUAACCUAACCUUCACAUCCUCAGGAUACUGUAGUGUAUCAAACAUCUUUUUCAUUUCUCAAAUCUAUGUUUUUGCAACCAAAGGGUCAGGUC